CGUGUAGGCGGCCGGCCAAGUCGGAUGUGAAAGCCCUCGGCUCAACCGAGGAAGUGCGUUCGAUACUAGCUGGCUCGAGUACCGGAGAGGGUGGUGGAAUUCCCGGUGUAGAGGUGAAAUUCGUAGAUAUCGGGAGGAACACCAGUGGCGAAGGCGACCACCUGGACGGAUACUGACGCUGAGACGCGAAAGCGUGGGGAGCAAACA
rnacentral:rRNA from 1 species